CAUAGGGAAAUUCUUUUCUUAUCCAGUUUACUUGGUGUUCUGUUUGCUUCUUGCACCUUGAUAGACACUACUUUCCAUAGGCUAGGGAAAUUUUCUUCUAUGGUUGUAUUAAACAUAUUUUCUGCUCCAUUUUCCUGGGUUUUCUUUUCCUUCCUCUAUUUCUGUUAUUCAUAGAUUUCGUCUUUUCAUAGUGUUCCAGGUUGUGUAGAUGUUUGUGUCUCGAUUUUUUUUUAUAUUUACCAUUUUCUUUCACCAAGGUACUGUUUUUUUUUUUCUUUAUUCAAAGCCUGAGAGUAUGUCUUCCAUUUCUACUAUUCUAUUGGUGAAGCUUGCCUUGAUUUCAACAUUUUUCAUUACCACUUUUACCUCAGUUGGGUUUUCAGUUCCACUUUCAUGUCUUGAAUUAUCUUUUUUCAUUUCAGUCUACUAUAUGCUUACAUGGAUUUCAUUAAAGGGUUUAUCUCCUCUUUAAGAUCCCUGAACAUGCUCAUAAUAGCUAUUUUGAAGUCCUUUCUUGUGCUUCAGCUAUAUUGCAUUUCUCAGGGCCUACUGUAAUAAGACUGUUUGGCUCUAGUGGAGCCAUACUUUCCUGGCUGUUAUUAAUUACUAUAAAAUGCUGCUAUUGUUUUUAUGCUGGCAUCUGGGCAUCUGGGUUUGGGAUUAUUGUGGUGAUAUUAGGUCUUGUCUUUGUUUUGUGGGAGUUCCAUUCCU
rnacentral:lncRNA from 1 species